UUGACCAGCAAAAGGCCGGGGCCGCGCAACCGCACGGCCCCGGCCUUUUGCUGGCGGA
rnacentral:pre_miRNA from 1 species